rnacentral:rRNA from 1 species
AUUGAACGCUGGCGGCAUGCCUUACACAUGCAAGUCGAACGGCAGCACGGGUGCUUGCACCUGGUGGCGAGUGGCGAACGGGUGAGUAAUACAUCGGAACGUACCUUAUCGUGGGGGAUAACGCAGCGAAAGCUGUGCUAAUACCGCAUACGCCCUGAGGGGGAAAGCGGGGGAUCGCAAGACCUCGCGCGAUUAGAGCGGCCGAUGCCUGAUUAGCUUGUUGGUGGGGUAAAAGCCCACCAAGGCGACGAUCAGUAGCUGGUCUGGGAGGACGAUCAGCCACCAGGGGGUGGGGAGACGGCCCAGACUCGUACGGGAGGGAGCAGUGGGGAAUUUUGGAUAAUGGGGUCAACCCGGUUCCCGCAAGGCGGCGUGGGUGAAGAGGGCCUUCGGGUUGUAAAGCUCUUUUGUCAGGGAAGAAACACCGGCUCUAACACAGUCCGGGAAUGACGGUACCUGAAGAAUAAGCACCGGCUAACUACGUGCCAGCAGCCGCCGUAA